CGUAGGCGCGAGCGUUGUCCGGAUUACUGGGCGUAAGGGCUCGUAGGCGGUCCGUCGCGUCGGCUGUGAAGACCGCAGCUCAACUGCGGAAACGCAGUCGAUACGGGCGGACUAGAGGACGGUAGAGGCAAGCGGAAUUCCUGGUGUAGCGGUGAAAUGCGCAGAUAUCAGGAGGAACACCGAUGGCGAAGGCAGCUUGCUGGGCCGUUCCUGACGCUGAGGAGCGAAAGCGUGGGAGCGAACAGGAUU
rnacentral:rRNA from 1 species